CGUAUCCCGAGGACGAGCGUGCACAUUCGAGGCAGGGGGGCUACGACCCUUCUACAUACCAGUUCUAGUAGCUUAGCGGGUUUUGGUGGUUUUCUCGGAGGACGUCCCGGCAUUCUGACAGAUACUCACCUACGUAGGGUCACCUCCGGGUGUACUUUGGUUGUAUUGUUUCUUUUGGACUGCUGUAGGCCUUAGGCUCUGAAUUAAGCAUCUUACUUUUACUGGCACAUACUUAUCACAUUACAUUGGCUGGUUUUAAAUUAUUCGCACUUUUAUAUUAC